rnacentral:rRNA from 1 species
CGAACGAAGAGUUUGAUCCUGGCUCAGGAUGAACGCUGACAGAAUGCUUAACACAUGCAAGUCAACUCGAGUCUUCGGACUUGGGUGGCGCACGGGUGAGUAACGCGUAAAGAACUUGCCUCUUAGACCGGGACAACAUCUGGAAACGGAUGCUAAUACCGGAUAUUAUGGUUUUUUCGCAUGGAGGAAUCAUGAAAGCUAGAUGCGCUAAGAGAGAGCUUUGCGUCCCAUUAGCUGGUUGGUGAGGUAACGGCCCACCAAGGCAAUGAUGGGUAGCCGGCCUGAGAGGGUGAACGGCCACAAGGGGACUGAGACACGGCCCUUACUCCUACGGGAGGCAGCAGUGGGGAAUAUUGGACAAUGGACCACAAGUCUGAUCCAGCAAUUCUGUGUGCACGAUGACGUUUUUCGGAAUGUAAAGUGCUUUCAGUCGGGAAGAAGUCAGUGACGGUACCGACAGAAGAAGCGACGGCUAAAUACGUGCCAGCAGCCGCGGUAAUACGUAUGUCGCAAGCGUUAUCCGGAUUUAUUGGGCGUAAAGCGCGUCUAGGCGGCAAGGAAAGUCUGAUGUGAAAAUGCGGAGCUCAACUCCGUAUGGCGUUGGAAACUGCCUUACUAGAGUACUGGAGAGGUAGGCGGAACUACAAGUGUAGAGGUGAAAUUCGUAGAUAUUUGUAGGAAUGCCGAUGGGGAAGCCAGCCUACUGGACAGAUACUGACGCUAAAGCGCGAAAGCGUGGGUAGCAAACAGGAUUAGAUACCCUGGUAGUCCACGCUGUAAACGAUGAUUACUAGGUGUUGGGGGUCAAACCUCAGCGCCCAAGCUAACGCGAUAAGUAAUCCGCCUGGGGAGUACGUACGCAAGUAUGAAACUCAAAGGAAUUGACGGGGACCCGCACAAGCGGUGGAGCAUGUGGUUUAAUUCGACGCAACGCGAGGAACCUUACCAGCGUUUGACAUCCUACGAACGGAGCAGAGAUGCGCCGGUGCCCUUUCGGGGGAACGUAGUGACAGGUGGUGCAUGGCUGUCGUCAGCUCGUGUCGUGAGAUGUUGGGUUAAGUCCCGCAACGAGCGCAACCCCUAUCGUAUGUUACCAUCCUUCAGUUGGGGACUCAUGCGAUACUGCCUGCGACGAGCAGGAGGAAGGUGGGGAUGACGUCAAGUCAUCAUGCCCCUUAUACGCUGGGCUACACACGUGCUACAAUGGGUAGUACAGAGAGC